rnacentral:sRNA from 1 species
ACUGCAAGAAGAUACGAGAGUGAUAAACAAAGCACAGAAUAGGCAUGUGCUUCCACUUAUAACUACUAGUACGACUACCGACUGAUAAGUCGCAGAAGUAGUCGCAAUCCGCGGGCGGAUCCAUGCAUGCACCCAUGCCGCUGCAACGUGGUGCUCAGUUAGCGUAUUUUUAUCAUCAGUUUUGAUUUCAUCGUAUGGGUCGCCAUGUGUUGAGGUGCCACGUACGUAUGUUGUUGCCCUCAAAGAAGACUUGCAAUUGUCAUCGAUAUCCAUAUAUCCAGUAUUAUAUUCUCAACUUACUGCGCCAACCAGCAGUGCAUUUCGUUAUCACAGGCCACGAUCAACCACAGAAGACAGCUAACGACGAACAACGGUAACGAUGAUCAAUCUUCUGUACUACAAUGCGUGCUACCGACUACUGGUUACUCUAGUAGCAUCAUUAAUACUGCUCAACUAUCGAUCGUUCAUUGUUUUUUGUAUUCGUUAUCAUAGUAUCUUAGGUAUCAUACUUGUUCAUACAUUACAUGAUGUACAACAUCAUCAUAACUAACAUCAAACACAUGUGAUGCUGUCUUAUUUAUG